rnacentral:tRNA from 1 species
AGAAACUUAGGAUAACUAAACCAAAGGCCUUCAAAGCCUUAAAUAAGAGUAAAAUUCUCUUAGUUUCUG